rnacentral:lncRNA from 1 species
UUUGACAUUGGCUGGUCUUCGUCGACCGAAGUCUUGGUAUGUUCGUCGAUCGUAGAGUCCAUUCUGGAAGCACUCGAUGACGUCUGUUUCUGAAAUGUCAACUAUAGUGGCCUUCUUUUCGAAGAAUCGUCGCAAGUAGUCGCGUAGUGUUUUGCCUUCUUUCUGUUUUAUUUGACUCAGGUCGAUUGUUAGGGACCGCCCCACAACACACCUUGAACGGCGCUGGCGGGGACCUUCUUUCUUAAUCGACCCUAACCUCAUCACUUUCCCCUUUACGAAGCUAAUAAAUGACUGAAGUUAAUUAUCACGAAGGUGUCCACUUUGUUGUUUCGCAGGCAAGGACUCGUGAAGUCAAACCCCCCGUGGAGCUCUCAGCGAUUUGGCUUCAAAAAGACUCCGUGACCAGAAGCCGAAGUUAGCUGACUUCGACCCAAGAAGACGGGAAGUUUGCAGAAGCUUGCUCAGUCUCAACGAAGCUUAUGAAUAAGGAAGAGGAUAGUCAAGACGCCCCUAGAACCACUUAAUAGCAGGACGACUCCGUAAUAAGAAUCUAGUACGAGGUUGGAUAUGUAAUUUUAUCGUGAAAGUGACAUCUUGAAUAGGAACCAAGUUACUGUCUUGUACGGAAUAUUCUUAGGAUGUAGUGGUUGAGUAUGGGUAUAACGUGGAUGCGGAAAUAUAACUUUAUGGCCCUAUAAAGGGAGAUGAACCGUCCCCCCCGGGGGGCAGUAUUCAUUGAUAGGACAGCCACUGUAACAUUUGUCUGAACGACUGUUAUCUUCAAUCGUCAUAACAUUCCUACUAUUGUUUGGGAGGACCCCAACAUCGAUCUUGUUACCUGGUCUAGCCAUGGAACCGGCAUUGUUGUUGGUGAAAGCCUUUGUCAAGUCUGCCCAAGAAUUGAUUGAUCGAGGCUUGAGUGACUC